GGCAGAGCGGACACGGGGCUUUAUUGAACGCGGCACGGAACGGCGCGGCCCCAACGCGAGGCGCAGCGCCACGUCGGCAGCUGAGCGGCCCCAGGGCGGCGGCUGCGCGGAGCUACGAGCCGGUGGGGACGGUGUCUUCCUCCAUCUCCUCCUCGGCGUCCUCGGCCGAGCCUGCAAGAGAGCAGAACGCAGCCCGAUGAGCGCAUGCUGUGAGUUUGGUGCUUUGCAGCUGCACACGUGAUCCAGGCCUGGCUGUGAACGCUCUGACUGCCAGACAGCUCGCGUGCUGAACGCACAGCCUGAGGGAGGUGGUCCUCAGCCAUCCCAACCAUCAAAUCACAACCAUCUCACGUGGUUUUUCAACCUCUCCCAGCAUAACCUCCUUGCUGAGAUCACGGGAAGGACCAGGAAGCAAUUAAAAGAAAGGGAUUCUGUUUAGGAAAGAAAAGCAGAAGCACUGUGACCUGGCUUUCGUUCUCUGCCGGGGAUCUGGCCGGCCUGCAGCAAGCCUUUCAGCCUCUCCACUUCGGCCAAUGUUGAGGCAUUUGCUAUGGCAGUCUGAAAAACAGGCAAAGGAGCACGGUGAAUCUUCACGUGCAGCACGUCAGUCCAUUGAGAGUAAACAGAACCAGUUGGUUUUGAUUUGCAGUUAAGCUACGCUGAGCUUUUACACUCCCAAAGGUUCUACAAGUGAUAACGCACAAUCCUGUUCCCCCCAAUUAUACAAGCUGAUCUGUCCUGGGUGAGCUCUAGGCUCAAACCCAAAUUUCAGUUAAGUUUUCUGUAUGUCACAGUGUCAGAAAAGUUACAGAAAAAGCACCAAGAACAAAGAGAACACUGUUCUGUUCGUCUGAACAUCGCCAGGAAGAAGGAAACAUUCCUUCGGUUGGGAUUCACAAUUGUUCUCCUCCCCCUCUGUCUGAGUCCCGUUGUGCCACACUCACCUUAAUUGCCUCAACAUCACCCGGGGAGGGCCCGGCCUUCUUUUUGUCUGUUGGCAGACCAGCACCUGGAUUGAAGCUUCAGAGGAAAAAGCAAAGAGGUCUAAUAGGAUACUGUGACAGCCUAUACAUAAGCCUGCCUAAAAGGAAUGUCAGAAGUUUCUUUUGAGGUACCUGCUGCUGAUUGAAGGAAAGCAGACGUUUGUUGUCUCUGGAAAUGGAGGUCACAGACACAGCUGGAAAGAACUUCCUGAAAUAGUUACCCAGCUUCAGAGACCUGCAACCUCUCCUGCAGCUACAUAUGGACAUUUGUAUGCUUAUUGGGUAUUCAGUUCACUGAUUUACUUGUUCUAAAGCUAUCACAGACCUCAACCAUUUCCACUCACAAACCACAGUGAGAGCCCAUUUGCUAACAGUUUUAAAUGCUCACUAUUUACAGUCCCUGGCAAAACAGGUUUUUCAAUUUCCAAUAAUGCAGAGAGCAAAACCAAGCAAACAAUGGCCACCUCUUUACCUCUUUGCAGUAAUGUAACAAAGAGCAAAAAAAGGUUUCCUGUUUACUGAUAUAUCUCAAUCCACCCUGACCAAAUGUAUCCUCCACAAAGAUUUCUGAGAUGUGUUCACCACCAUCCAAAAAAUAGGGACGUCUCAGUUCAGUGCAUAAUGCUGCACACAAAGUGGUGUUUCUGAAGGAGAAUGCCAGUGGAAGUGUUUGUUUCAUCUUACGUUUUUGAUCUCCUGGCAAUAUCCUUUGCAAGCUGUGCACCCCGUUUGCCCUUGAACAUUUUCUCUGCCUCCUGUCGCUCCUACAGCGAUACCACACACACAAAGUUAAUUUAAGAACACGGCAUUUUGCAAAGCUGCUGUCUUUGCAAAGAAAGAUGCUUUGGCUCAUCUCCAGUGAACACUGGCACGAGGAGACCAGAUGUAAGAACAAGCACAGACACAUUGCCCAAACACUCGGACUCGAGGAAUAUCACUUUAGUGCUCUUAAAAGGAAUGACCCCACACUUCUACAGGGAAAGCAGAGGGCUCUGCUGUGAUCUCCUUCCUUCCUCUGGGUUUGUCUUACCACCAGUAACACUGGCCAGCCAGAAAAGAAUCAGACUAAACAAACAACGGCAGUAAAACAUCAUUAAAAAUCAUGAAGUAGAUUACAUCCUUAACAGUGUGAAACCAUCAAAGAGAAGCAUGAGUUUUAAAGCCUCGUAGGAUACACAGUUUCACUGCAAUUUACAACUGGGGCAAAAACCUUAUCGUUUUCACUACAGUUUCAGGAGAUAACAGGAGAAAAGGCCUCCAUCUGGUGUUCAAUCAGAAGGUGACAGACUUACUUUGAGUUUCACUUUCUGAAAAUCCAGCACUCUGACUUGGGGAACUUUGUAGAUAACAUAUAAUCUGUAAUGCUUCUUAUUUGUUACUGGAUUCCUUAAAAUGCUCAGGUAAGUCAAUGAUUUAAUACUUGAUAAUGGAUCCAGUUCACCCAGUUCAGAAAUGUUGUUGUUGGUAAGAACGAGCUCUGUGAGACUGGGCAGGGCUUGUUCAAGUCCUUCCCCAAUCCGACAAAUCCUAUUGUUAUUCAUCAGAAGAGUUUUCAGCCUUCUCAACAGAGGGAACCCAUCCAGUUUCCGGAUCUCAUUAUCUGAGAAAUCAAUCGCAUCAAACUGAUCCAACGUGGCCCCUAAGUUCUCAAUGACGGGGAUUUUAUACCCCCGCAGAUCGAGCUCGCGGUCUCGGACGGCGUUGGUGUAUUGAGCCGCCUGCUCGAUCAGCUCCGCCGUCAGCUUCACCAUCCCGCCGAGCCCGCCAGGCCGCGCCGCGCCGCCAACACGCCGCCGAGCCGCUCAGCCAGCCGAGCGCCGAGCAGCCGAGAGCGGCCGAUCUCUGCCGAGCG
rnacentral:lncRNA from 1 species